GACGUAGGGUGCAAGCGUUGUCCGGAUUUAUUGGGCGUAAAGAGCUCGUAGGCGGUUCGUCGCGUCGGCUGUGAAAACUCGGGGCUUAACCUCGGGCUUGCAGUCGAUACGGGCGGGCUAGAGUUCGGUAGGGGAGACUGGAAUUCCUGGUGUAGCGGUGAAAUGCGCAGAUAUCAGGAGGAACACCGGUGGCGAAGGCGGGUCUCUGGGCCGAUACUGACGCUGAGGAGCGAAAGCGUGGGGAGCGAACAGG
rnacentral:rRNA from 1 species